rnacentral:tRNA from 1 species
GGGAGCAUGGCUCAGUGGUAGAGCACCUGCCUAGCACGCAUGCGACCAAGUUCAAACCUAACUACUGCCA